rnacentral:piRNA from 1 species
UGGUGUUGAGGCAUAUGUGUAAGCAUC